CCUACGGGAGGCAGCAGUGGGGAAUAUUGCACAAUGGGGGAAACCCUGAUGCAGCGACGCCGCGUGAGUGAAGAAGUAUUUCGGUAUGUAAAGCUCUAUCAGCAGGGAAGAAAAUGACAGUACCUGACCAAGAAGCCCCGGCUAACUACGUGCCAGCAGCCGCGGUAAUACGUAGGGGGCAAGCGUUAUCCGGAUUUACUGGGUUUAAAGGGUGCGUAGGCGGUGAUGUAAGUCUGGUGUGAAAGCCCGGGGCUGAACCCCGGGACUGCGUUGGAAACUGUGUAACUGGAUUACCGGAGAGGCAGGAGGAAUUCCUGGUGUAGCGGUGAAAUGCGUAGAUAUCAGGAGGAACACCGGUGGCGAAGGCGGCUUGCUGGACUGAGACUGACGCUGAGGCACGAAAGCGUGGGGAGCGAACAGGAUUAGAUACCCGAGUAGUC
rnacentral:rRNA from 1 species